AUGAACGCUGGCGGCGUGCCUAAUACAUGCAAGUCGCGCGAACAGACGAGGAGCUUGCUCCUCUGACGUUAGCGGCGGACGGGUGAGUAACACGUGGAUAACCUACCUAUAAGACUGGGAUAACUUCGGGAAACCGGAGCUAAUACCGGAUAACAUGUUGAACCGCAUGGUUCAACAGUGAAAGACGGUUUUGCUGUCACUUAUAGAUGGAUCCGCGUCGCAUUAGCUAGUUGGUAAGGUAACGGCUUACCAAGGCAACGAUGCGUAGCCGACCUGAGAGGGUGAUCGGCCACACUGGAACUGAGACACGGUCCAGACUCCUACGGGAGGCAGCAGUAGGGAAUCUUCCGCAAUGGGCGAAAGCCUGACGGAGCAACGCCGCGUGAGUGAAGAAGGUCUUCGGAUCGUAAAACUCUGUUAUUAGGGAAGAACAAAUGUGUAAGUAACUAUGCACGUCUUGACGGUACCUAAUCAGAAAGCCACGGCUAACUACGUG
rnacentral:rRNA from 1 species